AGAUAUUAUUGGGCCAGCCGGUUGCCCAACGCGAGAUCACAGCGGAAAGGCCUUUCUGGCGGCAGACGAGGUUGAUCGGGCCGGAGCGACCAAAUCGGAUCUGCGGCGAAGGAACCGUGGAAGCCUUCAUCGUCGCCGGCGGGUGCAAUGAGCCAUCGUGCUUGCUGGAUCGGAACUCGUCCUUCGUGCCGUGAUGGUGACAGGCGCCCGCCACGAUGAGGUGGCUUCAUCUCUCUGGAGGUUCGGAGGAGGAGCUGUCGCCUCAUCGACAAAAUGCACUAUUCCAGGUGUUUUGACAUGGUAAGUAAGCUUGCUGGAAGUUAAAUGGCGAGGAAGAUGCUCAUGCCGAAGAAGAACCUGAACUGCCAGGUUGCCAUCUUCUGAGGAAAUGCCUGCUUAUACUCCAGAAAAUGUCCAAUACUUCAAAGGUUUCAAUCAGAUAAUACUUACAAGGUGAAAGAAAAGAUGAAAGUGGCAGGCGGUCGACAACGACAGCAACAACAUGGCACGACAGUAGUUGGGCAAUCGACAUUGGGGAAAGAACAAGACGUGACAUCGAUGGAGGUGCGCGACAACAACUCAUCGCACAAUGGUGCGAUGUUAGAUCAUGCGGUGGAACAACGCCUCUAGCAUGCGAGGGAAGAGACACGGACUGGUGGCCUGCUGAUGGCUGACAAUCAUGACACCAGGGAAGAAGGCAGCUCGUAGUGGGGAAGGGCAAGCAGGCACCGAGAAAGUAGAUAGCAUCGACGGUGGAUGCAACGACGACGGAAAACAACACCGAUGUUGAGGGGCAUAGGCAUCGUCGACGGCUAAGAAGGGAUCAGAGCACUGUUGAUUGUUCAUAGCGGGGACCAAAAGGUAGUAGCGAUUCUCUUUGCUACUUCCGACGAUAAGGGAAGCAACAAUGACAGUGAAAGCCCUGGGUAGUCGACACACCGACAGCAAGGUGCCCUUGUUAACUUUGGCGAAGCAAGACAGUGAUUGCCGGCUUCAGCUCGAAGAUGAGAAAGUGAGGGACAGGGCACCGAUGUCUCGCGUGGACAGAGGGGACACUAUCGGUUGAACGUGCGACGGUGGACGCGUACGUCGAGGGAGAGGAGCGACAAUUUAAUCAUGAACUUAGGGUUUAUUAUAAACUUAGGCUAAUUGAUAUUAUUAACUCCUUAGGUAUUUUAAACAUGCUUUAUCUUUUAUCCAUA